CAGCCGUAAACUAUGCUCGCUAGGUGUCAGGCAUGGCGCGACCGUGUCUGGUGCCGCAGGGAAGCCGUGAAGCGAGCCACCUGGGAAGUACGGCCGCAAGGCUGAAACUUAAAGGAAUUGGCGGGGGAGCACAACAACGGGUGGAGCCUGCGGUUUAAUUGGACUCAACGCCGGGAAGCUCACCGGAUAAGACAGCAAUAUGUAGGCCAGGCUGAAGACCUUGCCUGAAUCGCUGAGAGGAGGUGCAUGGCGUAGACGUCU
rnacentral:rRNA from 1 species